rnacentral:rRNA from 1 species
AUUGAACGCUGGCGGCAGGCCUAACACAUGCAAGUCGGACGAGCGGCGGACGGGUGAGUAAUGUAUGGGGAACUGCCUGAUGGAGGGGGAUAACUACUGGAAACGGUAGCUAAUACCGCAUACCAUCAGAUGAACCCAUAUGGGAUUAGCUUGUAGGUGAGGUAACGGCUUACCUAGGCGACGAUCCCUAGCUGGUCUGAGAGGAUGAUCCGCCACACUGGGACUGAGACACGGCCCAGACUCCUACGGGAGGCAGCAGUGGGGAAUCUUGCACAAUGGGCGAAAGCCUGAUGCAGCCAUGCCGCGUGUAUGAAGAAGGCCUUCGGGUUGUAAAGUUCUGUCGGUCGUGAGGCGUUACCCACAGAAGAAGCACCGGCUAACUCCGUGCCAGCAGCCGCGGUAAUUC